UUCGUAUGUGAGCUGCGGCAGGAUCAUUA
rnacentral:rRNA from 1 species